rnacentral:rRNA from 1 species
GACGAACGCUGGCGGCGUGCCUAAUACAUGCAAGUUGAGCGCUGAAGGUUGGUACUUGUACCAACUGGAUGAGCAGCGAACGGGUGAGUAACGCGUGGGGAAUCUGCCUUUGAGCGGGGGACAACAUUUGGAAACGAAUGCUAAUACCGCAUAAAAACUUUAAACACAAGUUUUAAGUUUGAAAGAUGCAAUUGCAUCACUCAAAGAUGAUCCCGCGUUGUAUUAGCUAGUUGGUGAGGUAAAGGCUCACCAAGGCGAUGAUACAUAGCCGACCUGAGAGGGUGAUCGGCCACAUUGGGACUGAGACACGGCCCAAACUCCUACGGGAGGCAGCAGUAGGGAAUCUUCGGCAAUGGGCGAAAGUCUGACCGAGCAACGCCGCGUGAGUGAAGAAGGUUUUCGGAUCGUAAAACUCGGUUGGUAGAGAAGAACGUUGGUGAGAGUGGAAAGCUCAUCAAGUGACGGUAACUACCCAGAAAGGGACGGCUAACUACGUG